rnacentral:rRNA from 1 species
AACGAACGCUGGCGGCAUGCCUAACACAUGCAAGUCGAACGAGACCUUCGGGUCUAGUGGCGCACGGGUGCGUAACGCGUGGGAACCUGCCCUUAGGUUCGGAAUAACUCCCCGAAAGGGGUGCUAAUACCGGAUAAUGUCUUCGGACCAAAGAUUUAUCGCCUUUGGAUGGGCCCGCGUUGGAUUAGCUAGUUGGUAGGGUAAAAGCCUACUAAGGCGACGAUCCAUAGCUGGUCUGAGAGGAUGAUCAGCCACACUGGGACUGAGACACGGCCCAGACUACUACGGGAGGCAGCAGUGGGGAAUAUUGGACAAUGGGCGAAAGCCUGAUCCAGCAAUGCCGCGUGAGUGAUGAAGGCCUUAGGGUUGUAAAGCUCUUUUACCCGGGAUGAUAAUGACAGUACCGGGAGAAUAAGCUCCGGCUAACUCCGUG